ensembl:rRNA 5S_rRNA 5S ribosomal RNA
GUCUAUGGCCAUGCCACUCUGAACGAGCCCAGUGUCUGAUCUUGGCAGCUAAGCAGGGAAGCUAAGCAGGGCCUGGCCUGGUUAAUACUUGGAAGGGAGACCACCUAGGAAGACCAGGUGCUGUAGGCA